rnacentral:sRNA from 1 species
AUGAUGGAUGUUUCACCUUGUGUCUGGAAGAUAAAGAAGAUGAUGAGCUGAAUUUGUUUUUGCCAUCAACCAAAUGGGGCCGCUGAAGUCAAUUAUUAAAGAAGAAGCAAUGGAUGCGAUGAGUGACAUGAGCGGACCCACAGAAUGGCGAAGGAAGCAAACGUCUAAAGCUCAGAGCCUUGUUUAUUCAAUCUUCAUUUGAAGAAUGUUUUAGUGUCAGAAUUUUUAUACACCAGCCUUUUCACGGAGCUCUGAACAGAAAACCUCCAAACUUCAGUUCGGAUCCAUGGUUGAAAUUUGACAUACCACACGCACUUAUAGUUUUGUGCUUUGUUUUAGUUCAAAGCACUCUUCAGAUCUAUUAUAUAUGCCUCUAUAGAGGGUUUUUGGUCAUGUUUAUUCAAAGUCGUGCUUUGAACUUUGCCAUUUUGAGAAAGUAAAAUCGAAAGUAUCCAUGUAUCCAAAAAAAAUUUAAUCGUAUUUGCGUAAUUUUCAGUGUCAUUACAGAGUUUGAUGGUGCUCGAAUUGAAUUCUUUGGAUUCGUAGCGAUCAGGAAAUUACGACUGACCAUAAACUGUCUGAAGCGCCAAAUUCUCUACAGCUUCUAUCACUCUGAUGCAUUUGGGGCCCUGUGAGCGUUAACAUUCUGCUAUUACGCAGAAGAAAAAUAUCUUGACCCGGUAGCCUUUUCUCCAUUUGAGAGGUAUCUGUUUUCUUCGUGUCUAUCACGUAUGAAGAGCACUGUGUCCGCAUGUUUGAUAAAAAAGAUCACGUUCUAUGUGAGAAUGAUUUUGCGACAUCCAACAAUCGAUGUCGCUAUGAUGAUAUAUCCGUUUUCUUAAUCUUUUAUACAAAUCACCAAUGAAGACCAUUCACACCAAAAGGCAAUCCAAUAAUCAAGAAAUGAUUAAAGACUGUACAAGCAAACGGUUAUUAUUUACAAUGGUAAUAGCGCUUGAUUUAGAUGACAGCGCUCUCUUAGGAAAAAGACUGAUUAGUUCACAAGAAGCUAUUCAGAUACUAGAUACCUGGAAUUCCCAAUACCUUUGAUACACAAUAUUUAUACUAUCCAGAUGUACAUACAACUUCACUUUGUAGAACAUUUCUUAGAAGAUAAAUUUUGACGGUAAACUCUGUAGGAAAUUAAAAAAAAAAGAACGGAUUUGGUGAAGGGGAUGUUUGUGUUAAAUUAAAGAUUAACUUUUAUC